rnacentral:lncRNA from 15 species
CAGCACUUUCUACUUCUACUCUUUAUGUUUUACUAUUAAAUAUUGUACUUUUGAUUACAUUUAUCUCACUUUAUAGUCACAAGCCACUUUUUAGAUUAUAAUUUGAUAAAAUAUGACGAUCCCAUUUUCCACCACUGGAGACGGGCUUUGCCUCUGCAGGGUCUGAUUGGGCUCCAGGUGUCAUUAAUGAGUUUAAUUAGUGCAGAGAGCCUGUGGAGCACCAAUAUAGGAGCAGCACAAAGCUUCUUUCUACAACUUCCACUGGGCUGCUGAGGCUGAAACUACUGCUCUUUUGAGUCAACCAUGGCACUUGGACUUGCUUUAAGGGUUUCCUGGAUCUGUCUGUUAUUGAGCAGUGGUGCUUGUUUUCCUGCAACAAAAGGAGACUACAGAUAUCCGUACACACCUACAUGGGGAUCCAGUGGUAGACCUGAUCCCAGAUCCAAACCUCUGUCGGAACGCUCACGUCUUCCCCUGCAACCGCAAGCAGCCCCUUAUCAGGCUGGCACCGGAAACCAGUUCCCAUCCAGCCUGGGAGCUGCUGUUGGGGCUGCAGGUUCCUCACAAAGUUAUGAGCCAAACAGAUUUAUUGUGACCUAUGAUUCCAGCUCUAACAAACCCUCCAGGGCUCCUAGCUUUUCUGUGCAGCACCGGCCUGCAGCUGGCCCCGGUGGAAACACUAAUGUGGCGGCAUCCAGCCCUGUCUAUAGUGCUUCAUUUGCAUACCCUGCGGAAACUGCUGGGACCAUGGCUGCAUCCUCCAGCUUGGGUGCUGGACCUGGUCCUUACGCUGCCGCUCCUGCAACCUACCCCUCUUACAGACCUGAUCCAUACGCCUACGUAAACCCUGCUGUUCCAGGUGUUGCUGGCGGAGCCGACUCGUCAUUCUACGACCCGAGCAAAUGGAUGCCGUCCAGUGGUUUUCCAGACUUCAGCGUCUGGGAAACGGAUAACCAGGAGAUGCCGCAGAGCGUGAGUGAUCCGUUUGAUGUGCCGCCUCCACCCAUCAUCCAGUCCUGGAAUGGCUACCAGCGAGCAAGAGAAGACCUUUCCCACACCAAGUACUCCCUAGACUACUAUGACCCACCAGCCUUUCCCUUGGAGGCUGGUGGGUCAUAGUAGUCUAGGGAGUACUUUGUGUGGGAAAGGUCUUCUCUUGCUCGCUGGUAGCCAUUCCAGGACUGGAUGAUGAUGGCUGGAGGCGGCACAUCAGACUGAUCCUUCCCGCUCUGCGCCAUCUCCUGGUUAUCCGUUUCCCAGACGCUGAAGUCUGGAAAACCACGGGAUGGCAUCCAGUUGCUUGGGUUGUAGAAUGAGGAGUCUGCUCCUCCAGGAACACCUGCAACAGCCGGGUUUCCGUAAGGCACAGGUCUGUAACCUAAGCCGCCGGCUGCAGGAGCAGCGGCAUAAGGAAGAGAUCCACUAAGCCCACUGGUGGCAGCUGCAUUAGGAUUUGUCUGACCUGAAACCAGAGACAGAAAAAAAAUUAUUUGUCAAAGACAGCUUUAAGAGUCAAGUCAAAGUCAACUUGAACAAGUAAAAUAAAGUGGGGAGUAGCAGAUUGUCAUGUUGUCUGUAGACCAAUACACCUUUAUGUUGGUGGCUUACUGAUCUAGAACAGAGAACCACUUCAGUGAGGGGCUGUGGGAUACCUUACGGCCAGCUACGAAUUUCUAGGGCUGCCCUAGAAUCGUCAACUUUUAAUUGCCAAGAAAAGUCUUGGUUGAUACUCUGAAUUAGUUGGAUAGUCACAGAACAGAAACUGUACUAGCUGCUAUUAGCUACGGUGGCUGGUAAGUGCAAAACAAAUUUACAAACUCCGAAACAAAUUUACAAACUCCGAAACAAGUUUACAAAGUCAAAAUCGUACGGAAGGGGAAUGUACUAAAUGCCGGAUCUGACCCGGAAGUGAUUGAGUGAGCGGUUUGUUGUGGAAAGAGUUGUGAGGUUUAUAUGGAGUUUCAAGAUGUUUUGCCCGUUUUGUGGAAACCAUUUGGGGCAGGUAUUAAGGUUUUGUGAUUCGUGUGGACGGUCUCUGGAGUUUUUAAAGGCUGCGGAGCAGACGGAUGGACCAGACAUGCUGCAACAUCUUGAAACUCCAUAUAAACCGCACAACUCUUUCCACAACAAACCGCUCACUCAAUCACUUCCGGGUCAGAUCCGGCGUUUAGUACAUUCCCCUUCCGUACGAUUUUGACUUUGUAAAUUUGUUUCAGAGUUUGUUAAUUUGUUUCAGAGUUUGUAAAUUUGUUUCAGAGUUUGUUAAUUUGUUUCAGAGUUUGUUAAUUUGUUUCAGAGUUUGUUAAUUUGUUUCAGAGUUUGUAAAUUUGUUUCAGAGUUUGUAAANNNNNNNNNNNNNNNNNNNNCCUUUAUGUUGGUGGCUUACUGAUCUAGAACAGAGAACCACUUCAGUGAGGGGCUGUGGGAUACCUUACGGCCAGCUACAUAUUUAGCAAGCUACGAAUUUCUAGGGCUGCCCUAGAAUCGUCAACUUUUAAUUGCCAAGAAAAGUCUUGGUUGAUACUCUGAAUUAGUUGGAUAGUCACAGAACAGAAACUGUACUAGCUGCUAUUAGCUAAUAAGCAGUCCCAUUA